UUUCAAACAUGCAUGUCAAAAAAAUUGAUUUUUACUCGGGGUAAGGAAGGUUUUUUUUUUUUUGAAAA
rnacentral:tRNA from 1 species